rnacentral:rRNA from 1 species
AACGAACGCUGGCGGCAUGCCUAACACAUGCAAGUCGAACGAAGCCUUCGGGCUUAGUGGCGCACGGGUGCGUAACGCGUGGGAAUCUGCCCUUUGGUUCGGAAUAACAGUUGGAAACGACUGCUAAUACCGGAUGAUGACGAAAGUCCAAAGAUUUAUCGCCAGAGGAUGAGCCCGCGUAGGAUUAGCUAGUUGGUGUGGUAAAGGCGCACCAAGGCGACGAUCCUUAGCUGGUCUGAGAGGAUGAUCAGCCUCACUGGGACUGAGACACGGCCCAGACUCCUACGGGAGGCAGCAGUGGGGAAUAUUGGACAAUGGGCGAAAGCCUGAUCCAGCAAUGCCGCGUGAGUGAUGAAGGCCCUGGGGUUGUAAAGCUCUUUUACCCGGGAUGAUAAUGACAGUACCGGGAGAAUAAGCCCCGGCUAACUCCGUGCCAGCCGCCGCGGUAA